rnacentral:rRNA from 1 species
AUUGAACGCUGGCGGAAUGCUUUACACAUGCAAGUCGAACGGCAGCACGGGUGCUUGCACCUGGUGGCGAGUGCGAACGGGUGAGUAACAUAUCGGAACGUACCCAGUAAUGGGGGAUAACUAGUCGAAAGAUUAGCUAAUACCGCAUACGCCCUGAGGGGGAAAGCGGGGGAUCGUAAGACCUCGCGUUAUUGGAGCGGCCGAUAUCUGAUUAGCUAGUUGGUGGGGUAAAGGCCUACCAAGGCGACGAUCAGUAGCUGGUCUGAGAGGACGACCAGCCACACUGGAACUGAGACACGGUCCAGACUCCUACGGGAGGCAGCAGUGGGGAAUUUUGGACAAUGGGCGCAAGCCUGAUCCAGCCAUUCCGCGUGAGUGAAGAAGGCCUCGGGUUGUAAAGCUCUUUCGCAAGGGAAGAAACGAUACGAGCGAAUAACUCGUGUUAAUGACGGUACCUUGAUAAGAAGCACCGGCUAACUACGUGCCAGCAGCCGCGGUAAUACGUAGGGUGCGAGCGUUAAUCGGAAUUACUGGGCGUAAAGCGUGCGCAGGCGGUUUUGUAAGUCAGAUGUGAAAUCCCCGGGCUCAACCUGGGAACUGCGUUUGAAACUACAAGGCUAGAGUAUAGGAGAGGGGGGUAGAAUUCCACGUGUAGCAGUGAAAUGCGUAGAGAUGUGGAGGAAUUACCAAUGGCGAAGGCAGCCCCUGGCCUAAUACUGACCGCUCAUGC